rnacentral:rRNA from 1 species
CCUACGGGAGGCAGCAGUGGGGAAUAUUGCACAAUGGGGGAAACCCUGAUGCAGCGACGCCGCGUGAAGGAAGAAGUAUUUCGGUAUGUAAACUUCUAUCAGCAGGGAAGAAAAUGACGGUACCUGACUAAGAAGCCCCGGCUAACUACGUGCCAGCAGCCGCGGUAAUACGUAGGGGGCAAGCGUUAUCCGGAUUUACUGGGUGUAAAGGGAGCGUAGGCGGGUUGGCAAGUCAGACGUGAAAGCGCGGGGCUCAACCCCGGGACUGCUUUUGAAACUGGUGAACUGGAUUGCAGGAGAGGUAAGUGGAAUUCGUAGUGUAGCGGUGAAAUGCGUAGAUAUUAGGAGGAACACCAGUGGCGAAGGCGGCUUACUGGACUGUAAAUGACGCUGAGGCUCGAAAGCGUGGGGAGCAAACAGGAUUAGAUACCCCUGUAGUC